UGGGGAAUUUUGCACAAUGGGGGAAACCCUGAUGCAGCGACGCCGCGUGAUUUAGAAGGCCUUCGGGUUGUAAAAAUCUUUUCUAUGGGAAGAAAAUGACAGUACCAUAGGAAUAAGGACCGGCUAAUUACGUGCCAGCAGCCGCGGUAAUACGUAAGGUCCGAGCGUUGUCCGGAAUCAUUGGGCGUAAAGGGUACGUAGGCGGGUAAGCAAGUUAGAAGUGAAAUCCUAUAGCUCAACUAUAGUAAGCUUUUAAAACUGCUCAUCUUGAGGUAUGGAAGAGAAAGUGGAAUUCCUAGUGUAGCGGUGAAAUGCGCAGAUGUUAGGAGAAAUACCGGUGGCGAAGGCGACUUUCUGGCCAUAACCUGACGCUGAGGUACGAAAGCGUGGGUAGCAAACAGG
rnacentral:rRNA from 1 species